UACGUAGGCAGCGAGCGUUGUUCGGAGUUACUGGGCGUAAAGAGUGCGUAGGCGGUUUCGCAAGUCUGGUGUGAAAUCUCCCGGCUUAACUGGGAGGGUGCGCCGGAAACUGCGAGGCUGGAGGGUGGGAGAGGCAAGCGGAAUUCCUGGUGUAGCGGUGAAAUGCGUAGAUAUCUGGAGGAACACCGGUGGCGAAGGCGGCGUUCUGGACUGCUACUGACACUGAGGAACGAAAGCCAGGGGAGCAAACGGG
rnacentral:rRNA from 1 species